rnacentral:rRNA from 1 species
UACGAAGGGUGCAAGCGUUACUCGGAAUUACUGGGCGUAAAGCGUGCGCAGGCGGGCUUUUAAGCCAGACGUGAAAUCCCCGGGCUUAACCUGGGAAUGGCGUUUGGGACUGGAAGUCUGGAGUGCGGCAGAGGAGACUGGAAUUCCUGGUGUAGCAGUGAAAUGCGUAGAUAUCAGGAGAACACCGAUGGCGAAGGCAGGUCUCUGGGCUGACACUGACGCUCAUGCACGAAAGCGUGGGGAGCAAACAGG